GAUGAACGCUAGCGGCAGGCUUAAUACAUGCAAGUCGAGGGGCAGCAUGACUGUAGCAAUACAGUUGAUGGCGACCGGCAAACGGGUGCGGAACACGUACAGAACCUUCCUUCGAGCGGGGAAUAGCCCAGAGAAAUUUGGAUUAAUACCCCAUAGUAUUACGGAGUGGCAUCACUUUGUAAUUAAAGAUUUAUCACUUGAAGAUGGCUGUGCGGCUGAUUAGGUAGUUGGCGGGGUAACGGCCCACCAAGCCUGCCACCAGUAACUGGCGUGAGAGCACAACAAGUCAACCGGGCACUGAGACACGGGCCCGACUCCUACGGGAGGAAGCAGUAAGGAAGAUUGGACAAUGGACGAAAGUCUGAACCAGCCAUGCCGCGUGAAGGAUGAAGGUCCUAUGGAUUGUAAACUUCUUUUAUAUGGGACGAAAAAGGGCUUUUCUAAGUCGUCUGACGGUACCAUAUGAAUAAGCACCGGCUAACUCCGUGCCAGCCGCCGCUGUAAUAC
rnacentral:rRNA from 1 species